rnacentral:rRNA from 1 species
GACGAACGCUGGCGGCGUGCUUAACACAUGCAAGUCGAACGGAAAGGCCCUGCUUUUGUGGGGUGCUCGAGUGGCGAACGGGUGAGUAACACGUGAGUAACCUGCCCUUGACUUUGGGAUAACUUCAGGAAACUGGGGCUCAUACCGGAUAGGAGCUCCUGCUGCAUGGUGGGGGUUGGAAAGUUUCGGCGGUUGGGGAUGGACUCGCGGGUUAUCAGCUUGUUGGUGGGGUAGUGGCUUACCAAGGCUUUGACGGGUAGCCGGCCUGAGAGGGUGACCGGCGACAUGGGGCCUGAGAUACGGCGCAGACGCCUACGGUAGGCAGCAGUGGGGAAUCUGGCACAAUGGGCGGGAGCCUGAGGCGGCGACGCCGCGUGCGGGAUGACGGCCUUCGGGUUGUAAACCGCUGUCGCCGGUGACGAAGCGUGAGUGACGGUAAUGGGUAAAGAAGCACCGGCUAACUACGUG